GGAUAAGUAGAUAAAAAUUAAUUACUCCUGAAUGGGCGUCUGCCUUCUAAGCAGAAUGUCGGGGGUUCAAAUCCCUCCGGAGCCG
rnacentral:tRNA from 1 species